rnacentral:RNase_P_RNA from 1 species
CGAGUCGGCCAGACAAUCGCGGCCUGAUCUUCAUCGAUCAGGCGGAGGAAAGUCCGGGCUCCAUAGGGUAAGGUGCCAGGUAACGCCUGGGGGGCGAGAGCCUACGGCAAGUGCAGCAGAGAGAAGACCGCCUGCUCAGUGUAUUCUGAGUCGGUAAGGGUGAAAGGGUGCGGUAAGAGCGCACCGCGCAACUGGUAACAGUUUGCGGCAAGGUAAACCCCACCUGGAGCAAGAUCGAAUAGGAGAGCGUAUGGUGCGGCCCGCAUUGUUCUCGGGUAGAUCGCUUGAGGCGUAUGGCGACAUAUUGCCCAGAUGAAUGGUUGUCCAAGACAGAACCCGGCUUAUCGGCCGACUCAUUUU